AGCGAACGCUGGCGGCAGGCCUAAUACAUGCAAGUCGAGCGCCCGGGGCAAUCCGGGCGCGGCAGACGGGUGAGUAACACGUGGGAACAUGCCCUGUGGUUCGGAAUAACUCGGGGAAACCAGUGCUAAUAUCGGAUACGUCCGUACGGAGCAAGAUUUAUCGCCGAAGGAUUGGCGCGCUUCCGAUUAGCUAGUGGGUGGGGUAAUGGCACACAAAGGCGGCGGUCGGUAGCUGGUCUGAGAGGAUGGUCAGCCACACUGGGACUGAGACACGGCCGAGACUCCUACGGGAGGGAGCAGAAGGGAAUAUUGGACAAUGGGCGCAACCCUGAUCCAGCCAGGCCGCGUGGGUGAUGAAGGCCCUAGGGUUGUAAAGCCCUUUCGGCGGGCGAGAUAAUGACGGUACCCGCAGAAGAAGCCCCGGCUAACUUCGUGCCAGCCGCCGCUGUAA
rnacentral:rRNA from 1 species